rnacentral:rRNA from 1 species
UACGAGCGGCCCAAACGUUAUUCGGAAUUACUGGGCUUAAAGAGUUCGUAGGCGGCGCGGAAAGUGGGGUGUGAAAGCCCUCGGCUCAACCGAGGAAUUGCGCUCCAAACUACCGUGCUUGAGGAAGCUAGAGGUGAGCAGAACUGAUGGUGGAGCGGUGAAAUGCGUUGAUAUCAUCAGGAAUACCGGAGGCGAAGGCGGCUCACUGGGGCUUUUCUGACGCUGAGGAACGAAAGCCAGGGUAGCGAACGGG